GAUGAACGCUGGCGGCGUGCCUAAUACAUGCAAGUCGAGCGAACAGACGAGGAGCUUGCUCCUCUGACGUUAGCGGCGGACGGGUGAGUAACACGUGGAUAACCUACCUAUAAGACUGGGAUAACUUCGGGAAACCGGAGCUAAUACCGGAUAAUAUAUUGAACCGCAUGGUUCAAUUGUGAAAGACGGUUUUGCUGUCACUUAUAGAUGGAUCCGCGCCGCAUUAGCUAGUUGGUAAGGUAACGGCUUACCAAGGCGACGAUGCGUAGCCGACCUGAGAGGGUGAUCGGCCACACUGGAACUGAGACACGGUCCAGACUCCUACGGGAGGCAGCAGUAGGGAAUCUUCCGCAAUGGGCGAAAGCCUGACGGAGCAACGCCGCGUGAGUGAUGAAGGUCUUCGGAUCGUAAAACUCUGUUAUUAGGGAAGAACAAAUGUGUAAGUAACUAUGCACGUCUUGACGGUACCUAAUCAGAAAGCCACGGCUAACUACGUG
rnacentral:rRNA from 1 species